AGCUAAUAUGAAGAAAAAUCUGAGGUUAAUAAUGCAGCAUAAGAGUAAAUUUUAGCUAUUUUCCACAAAAACAUUCAAGAGUGAUGCUUCAAAAAAUGCUAAUCAUAUCCCUUUUUGAGAGGAAUGUAAGAUAUCCCUUCUUUCAACAUAAUAAUAAUAUACCUAUUGCUCAUUUUGAAUUAAAGUUCUAUGGCUCUCUCCAUAUUUCGCAUUCCUUGCAGACUCAACAAGUAUGCGACUCCAAAAUUUCAGUGGCUAUAAUCGGUACUUACAAAAAGCUAGUAGGCAGUCUUCCUUUCAUGUAAAAAAUCAUUUGGUACUAUUGGCUUUCUUUCGUUGGAAUAAAACAUUUAUAAGAAAAGACAAUUAUAUU
rnacentral:misc_RNA from 1 species